UACGUAGGUGGCAAGCGUUGUCCGGAAUUAUUGGGCGUAAAGCGCGCGCAGGCGGCCUUUUAAGUCUGAUGUGAAAGCCCACGGCUCAACCGUGGAAGGUCAUUGGAAACUGAAAGGCUUGAGUACAGAAGAGGAAAGCGGAAUUCCACGUGUAGCGGUGAAAUGCGUAGAGAAUGUGGAGGAACACCAGUGGCGAAGGCGCUUUCUGGUCUGUAACUGACGCUGAGGCGCGAAAGCGUGGGGAGCAAACAGG
rnacentral:rRNA from 1 species